rnacentral:rRNA from 1 species
UACGUAGGGUGCGAGCGUUAAUCGGAAUUACUGGGCGUAAAGCGUGCGCAGGCGGCUUGCCAAGUCAGAUGUGAAAGCCCCGGGCUUAACCUGGGAACGGCGUUUGAAACUGGCAGGCUAGAGUUUGGCAGAGGGGGGUGGAAUUCCACGUGUAGCAGUGAAAUGCGUAGAGAUGUGGAGGAACACCGAUGGCGAAGGCGGCCCCCUGGGCCAAAACUGACGCUCAGGAACGAAAGCGUGGGGAUCAAACAGG